rnacentral:rRNA from 1 species
AGAGUUUGAUCCUGGCUCAGGAUGAACGCCGGCGGUGUGCCUAAUACAUGCAAGUCGUACGCACUGGCCCAACUGAUUGAUGGUGCUUGCACCUGAUUGACGAUGGAUCACCAGUGAGUGGCGGACGGGUGAGUAACACGUAGGUAACCUGCCUCGGAGCGGGGGAUAACAUUUGGAAACAGAUGCUAAUACCGCAUAACAACAAAAGCCACAUGGCUUUUGUUUGAAAGAUGGCUUUGGCUAUCACUCUGGGAUGGACCUGCGGUGCAUUAGCUAGUUGGUAAGGUAACGGCUUACCAAGGCAAUGAUGCAUAGCCGAGUUGAGAGACUGAUCGGCCACAAUGGAACUGAGACACGGUCCAUACUCCUACGGGAGGCAGCAGUAGGGAAUCUUCCACAAUGGGCGCAAGCCUGAUGGAGCAACACCGCGUGAGUGAAGAAGGGUUUCGGCUCGUAAAGCUCUGUUGUUGGAGAAGAACGUGCGUGAGAGUAACUGUUCACGCAGUGACGGUAUCCAACCAGAAAGUCACGGCUAACUACGUGCCAGCAGCCGCGGUAAUACGUAGGUGGCAAGCGUUAUCCGGAUUUAUUGGGCGUAAAGCGAGCGCAGGCGGUUGCUUAGGUCUGAUGUGAAAGCCUUCGGCUUAACCGAAGAAGUGCAUCGGAAACCGGGCGACUUGAGUGCAGAAGAGGACAGUGGAACUCCAUGUGUAGCGGUGGAAUGCGUAGAUAUAUGGAAGAACACCAGUGGCGAAGGCGGCUGUCUGGUCUGCAACUGACGCUGAGGCUCGAAAGCAUGGGUAGCGAACAGGAUUAGAUACCCUGGUAGUCCAUGCCGUAAACGAUG